GACGAAGGUGGCGAGCGUUACUCGGAAUUACUAGGCGUAAAGCGUGGGCAGGUGGUCCGAUAAGUCUGUUGUGAAAGCUCCCGGCUUAACCGGGAGAGGCCAAUGGAUACUGUCGGACUUGAAUGUGGGAGAGGUGACUGGAAUUCCCGGUGUAGCGGUGAAAUGCGUAGAGAUCGGGAGGAACACCAAUGGCGAAAGCAGGUCACUGGACCACUAUUGACACUCAUCCACGAAAGCUGGGGGAUCAAACAGG
rnacentral:misc_RNA from 1 species